rnacentral:rRNA from 1 species
UACGAGUGCGUCGAGCGUUAUCCGGAAUCAUUGGGCGUAAAGGGUGCGUAGGCGGUUGUGUUAGUCUCGCGUAAAAUCUUUCGGCUCAACCGAGAGUCCGCGCGGGAAACGGCACGACUGGAGGACGGAAGAGGUUUCUGGAACUCAUAGUGUAGCGGUGAAAUGCGUUGAUAUUAUGGGGAACACCAAAAGCGAAGGCAAGAAACUGGUCCGCUCCUGACGCUGAAGCACGAAAAGCGUGGGUCGCGAAUGGG